GCCUUUACUAAAGAGGCCUUGACAAACCAUGAGUUCCAUGCAGAACCAUCUCGUGCUUAAAUUGUUCUGUGCAUUGUGAAAUUGUUCUUCAAGAUUGAUCCAGAAUGUAUAGAACCUUUCAAAAUAUGGUUCUAUGUAGCAACAAAAGGUUCUGCUAUUGCUACAAGCUUGACAUUGUAACAAUAGAAGAACCCCCUUUAGUGUUAUAUAGUAACAUACAGAACUCAGGGUUCUAAAUAGAACUUGAAGAACCAUCUUUUUAAGUGUGUAGUCAGUAGUGAAACAAGCCUGACAGAUUCCCAUAAUACUGGUAAAUCACAGUAAAUCCAGACAGUGCUUUAUAAGCUCUAACAGCACCUGUGCGGCUCCGCUGAAUUGUCCCCUCUGCUCUUCCGUAGAACAUUAAACUUAGCCCUGAAGAAACAGGUCGACCGGUUUGUCCAGCCUCCUCGCGCGUAUGUGGGGCAGCUGUGGGAGUUCACUCGGCCUGUUAGUGUCCAGUUUCAGUUUCAGAGGGUUUGGGUUGGUGUUUUUGACCUGCAGGUCCUGAAUGUCCACCUUCAGCCUUUAAAGAGCUCAAACCAGCCGCCAGACGCAGCUUCAGGCAUGUCCUGCACCAAGGCGGUGAGCACUGACCUCUCCAUGGUGGACAUCUCCUGCCUGGAGGGUCUCCGGACUGAACUGGCGCAGCUGAGGACGCUGGUGGCGACGUUAGAGGCGAAGUUGAAGCAGAAGGAGCAGGGCGAGCUUGAAUAUGAGGAUCUGAAGCGUGAAGUCAAUGAUGUAGGGCAACAAACGCUGGACGUGGCCAGCUUUUUAGCUGAUCUUAAAAAUGAACAGUUUUCAAAAGAAAUAGCCAGUACUGGACACCGUGGUGAAGACCAGUCCACCCCGCAGGAUCUGGAGGAUGCGCUCAACGUGACUCCCGUUCGUGCAAAUGGACAGACCACCGCAGAGACCCAGGAAGCUGUGGGUGAAGAUGAAAACCAGCGAGCACUUCAGGAGCUGGAGGAAGGACCUCCACAGUGUAAACAUGAGCCAAACCCUGUGCAGAUGUCCUACACUGUGUUCAGCGGUGGAGACCAGCAGACGCUGUUACAGAUGUGUUCAGUGAAGCUGGUGGACUGUGGGAAGAUGGUCAGCCUGGACAGUCAUGAUGAAGACACGCUGACCUCAGGUGAGCAGCGCCAGUUGUCAUCCUGCAGUGGGAGCAGUCAGCAAUCUGGAGAAAUGAUUCGGAAGAAAAAGAUUAGGCGAAAACCAAUGCAUCAGAAGCCUCCCUGGACAUCCAGAUGCUUAAGCAAACUUGCAAGACGCAACAGACGAAGAAGACCUUACUCCUGCUCACAGUGUGGAAAGACUUUAUCUACUUUAUCAAGCCUUAAAAUACACAUGAGAGUGCACACAGGCGAGAGGCCUUUCAAGUGCUCUUACUGUGGUAAGACUUUCAUUCAGUCGGGAUACCUGACAAUCCAUCAGAGGAUACAUACCGGAGAGAAGCCUUACCAGUGCACUCAGUGUGAUAAGGCCUUCCGCGACUCGGGGCACCUCACGACUCAUUUGAGAGCUCAUGCUGGAAUAAAACCUUACCAGUGCUCCGAGUGUGAUAAGGCUUUUCCAAAUUCCUCUUCAUUUAAAGUCCAUCAGAGAGUACAUACUGGACAGAAGCCCUACCAGUGUCCCAUUUGUGAGAAACAGUUCUCGUGCUCAUCAAGCCUUAGAAGCCAUCAGGCAUUACAUGCAAAGCAACGGCCUCACCAGUGCUCUCAGUGUAGCAAGUCCUUCACUAAUUCAGCAAAACUCAAAGUCCACCAGAGGACUCAUACUGGAGAGAAACCGUACCAGUGCUCUCAGUGCGGUAAGACUUUUAGUCAAUCAGGAAGUCUUACGACCCAUCAGAAGUUACAUGCUUCAGAGAGGCCUUACCAGUGCUCCCAGUGUGAUAAAGCGUUCACACGCUCGGUGUACCUUAAAAACCACCAGCGAAAACAUACCGGAGAGAAGCCUUACGAGUGCACCAUGUGUGGAAAAAGGUUUGCACACUCAUCAAUACUGAAAAUACACAAGAGAACACACACUGGAGAAAAACCUUACCAGUGCUUGACCUGUGGAAAGCAGUUCUCCAGCUCAGCAUCGUUAAUAGGGCAUCGAAUUGUUCACACUGGAGAAAAGCAACACCAGUGCUCCACUUGUGGAAAAAAGUUUGCGUACCCUUCGUUGCUUGAAAAGCACCAAAGGGUCCAUACGAAAGAAAAGCCCUUUCACUGCUCCCAGUGUGACAAGACGUUUGCUCAGUCUUCAGCCCUUAGAGCCCAUCAGAGGGUACACACCGGAGAAAAGCCGUACCAGUGCUCUGUCUGCGGGGUGAAGUUUUCAAAUUCAUCUAUACUAGCAAGGCAUCAGAGCGUCCACACUGGAGAGAAGCCUUAUGAGUGCUCUACUUGCGGAAAACAAUUCCCGAGGUAUUCUAAUCUUAGACUCCAUCAGCGGACACACACAAAUGAAAAGCCUUACCAGUGCUCUCAGUGUGAGAAGACCUUCGCUCACUCAUACAGCCUCAAAAUCCAUCAGAGAAUACAUACAGGAGAAAAACCUUACCAUUGCACUGAGUGUGGCAAGACUUUUACACAGCUGUCGCACCUUCGGAGCCAUCAGAAAGUACAUACGCCAAGGAUGUAACAAUGCACUGUCUGUGAAAGAGUGACACUGUUUUUCUGUAAUUUUAGUCUUGCAGGCCCAGACGUGACGAGGGUACAUGUCUGGGGACAGUUUGUUAAAGGUUUGGUGCUGGAAUGCAGUAAAAUCUGUCGCUAGCAAGGGUGCGCCCCCUCUAAAACCCAUCUCGAUUUCCUCUAGCUAGUGAAAAGCUAUUGUUAGCUAAUGUUCAUUCUUCAAAAUGAAUGUUUUUGUAGUUCUAGAAUGGGAUGAAAGGCAUAAUUGAAGUAUAGCUGAAUCAGCUCAGGUUUGUGGACAUUGUGGGGGUGAUGAUGCUUUGAUGACUUCUUUUGUUUACACAGGGCCCAUGUCCUGCAUGCUUCCUGCAUUUUAUUUUCAAUUUAUGAUGUUUGUACAGUUUUAUGUAUCAAGAAGAGCCACGGUGACCAUUUUCCCAACUUUUCCAUCUAUAAGGGCUUAACUGCUGUAGGUGGAUGUAUGUAAAUGAGGUAUUUUGUGACCUCACAGAAGAUUUUAUAUGGGUUUUGUUUAUAUAUGGACUGUUUGGGACAGAGAGUGAACGGUACGUUUUGAAAAUGUUUUUUGCACUACAUCAAGCUUUUAUUUCAGAUAUGUUUUAAGAUAUUUUAACAUAGGAAUUUAUUUUUGUAAGCAGAUUUUGGACUAAGACAUCCGUUCAGGCUUCAGUCCAACCUUUCUUGUGUUGGGUAACAUUUUUCUUGCUUCUGGAGAUGACCACUGAUGGGUAGGACAGAAAUGUUUUGGCUUUAAUUUUGGUCAGCGUGGACAGUUAAAUCGUGGCUAUGGCUGGGUAUCUUUUUCAAUAUCGAUACAAUACUGAUAGCUUGACUCUGAUAAGAUUCCUGAACAGCACUUUUUUGAUAGAUAUUUUAUUACAAACAAAUUGUGGGUGUGGCUAAAUGAGAAAUGAAUGGGGUGCUGGAAGCAGGUAUACUGAUGGACCUAAAUGGACUUAAAACUUUAAAAAGCUGAUGUUGACAGCAAAUGGACUAUAUAGAUACCCAAUCAGCAGUCUGCUUUUCGAUUACAGAUGCUGAUAAGGCUGAUGUCUUAGGUAUUGGAAUUUUAUACUCAAUGAUGUGAACAUUUUCUGAUAAUUUGCAUUAUUGAAUACUUCAGCCUGUACCAUGGAGGUAUGAAAUUUCGAUACCCUGCCCUAAUUGUGGUACAUGGACCAGCAUGUUUAAGUGAAGAAGUUUUGAAUCUGUUCAAAGUUUGAAUGUUCUUAGAUUUUAUUACAGGGUAAGAGGGUCUUCUUUUUGAAUGUCGAGGACUUAAACUGGAAAAGUUCACUUUUUACAUGUUCUUUGUUUAUUGCUCUGUUUUCUGAUUGUGUCUUUUUAAGUUGGAAUGUAAAAAAAAGUGUCAAAGUUUCAAACGGCACUACGAAAUGCAGUUAUAGUUUUGAUACAGUCAAAUUAAGGCAUGUGAAACAUGGGAGAAUUUUAAAUAUUUGUUUCUUUCACCACUUUUUACAAAUGUUUGAGUGAGUGGUGAGUGUUGGACCACAAACCAAAGGAGAAUAACAGCAUCAGUUCCUCAUACACUGGUUAGACCAGUGUUCUCCGACCCUGGUCCGGGAUGUCUGCCCGCUCUGCACUGUGCUUCCUGAGCUGCAAUAAACACAUUAGAGCUGGGAAGACAUGAAAACAAUGCAGGUGGGGUCUCCAGGAAUGGAGCUGGAAUGCAAAACAUUAGGCAAGACCAUCAGCAAAUUUGACCUUACUCAAGAUAGAAAAUUAUUUUGCACAUGCGGUGAAAGUUAUGAAAACACUAGUGGAAGCUUUUUCUGUCUUAGUUUGGUUUAUUUGGUGUCUUGACCACAUCUCAUCAGCACUUGUUAUGGAAUACUGUGAAUGUUUUUUGCUACUCUACUUGUAGUUAGAAUUGAAAUUAAAUUCAGUUUGUUGUGAAUUGCUGUGUUGCUUUAAUCUCUGAUCUUCAGUAGAUGGCAGUCUUGCCAUUUGGGCUAUAAUGGGAGGAGCUUGUGAGAUUGGACAUCCCUGAUUCACACCUGAGAAGCUGUGAACAACUAAAGCAGAUCUCAUUUUAGAGAGUGUUAAGCAAAAGGAGGAAGAACUCCUGUCAUCAGAGAAACAAGCCAACCUAAAUAAAUGCACACAUAAGAGGAAUUCCAUCAGGCCAAAUGAAUGGAUGUCAGAGGGAGCAUUUUC